AUGAACGCUGGCGGCGUGCUUAACACAUGCAAGUCGAACGAAGCACUUUAUUUGAUUUCCUUCGGGAUUGAUUAUUUUGUGACUGAGUGGCGGACGGGUGAGUAACGCGUGGGUAACCUGCCUUGUACAGGGGGAUAACAGUUGGAAACGGCUGCUAAUACCGCAUAAGCGCACAGCAUCGCAUGAUGCAGUGUGAAAAACUCCGGUGGUAUAAGAUGGACCCGCGUUGGAUUAGCUAGUUGGUGAGGUAACGGCCCACCAAGGCGACGAUCCAUAGCCGACCUGAGAGGGUGACCGUCCACAUUGGGACUGAGACACGGCCCAAACUCCUACGGGAGGCAGCAGUGGGGAAUAUUGCACAAUGGGCGAAAGCCUGAUGCAGCGACGCCGCGUGAGCGAAGAAGUAUUUCGGUAUGUAAAGCUCUAUCAGCAGGGAAGAUAAUGACGGUACCUGACUAAGAAGCACCGGCUAAAUACGUGCCAGCAGCCGCGGUAAUACGUAUGGUGCAAGCGUUAUCCGGAUUUACUGGGUGUAAAGGGAGCGCAGGCGGUGCGGCAAGUCUGAUGUGAAAGCCCGGGGCUCAACCCCGGUACUGCAUUGGAAACUGUCGUACUAGAGUGUCGGAGGGGUGAGCGGAAUUCCUAGUGUAGCGGUGAAAUGCGUAGAUAUUAGGAGGAACACCAGUGGCGAAGGCGGCUUACUGGACGAUAACUGACGCUGAGGCUCGAAAGCGUGGGGAGCAAACAGGAUUAGAUACCCUGGUAGUCCACGCAGUAAACGAUGGGUACCAUCUUUUUGUCCGCAAGGAUGAGAGGAUCAUCGAAAGAGAUAAGUACCCCACCUGGGGAGUACGUGCGCAAGCAUGAAACUCAAAGGAAUUGACGGGGGCCCGCACAAGCGGUGGAGCAUGUGGUUUAAUUCGAAGCAACGCGAAGAACCUUACCAAGUCUUGACAUCCUUCUGACCGGUACUUAACCGUACCUUCUCUUCGGAGCAGGAGUGACAGGUGGUGCAUGGUUGUCGUCAGCUCGUGUCGUGAGAUGUUGGGUUAAGUCCCGCAACGAGCGCAACCCUUAUCUUUAGUAGCCAGCGGUUUGGCCGGGCACUCUAGAGAGACUGCCAGGGAUAACCUGGAGGAAGGCGGGGAUGACGUCAAAUCAUCAUGCCCCUUAUGACUUGGGCUACACACGUGCUACAAUGGCGUAAACAAAGGGAAGCAAAGCUGUGAAGCCGAGCAAAUCUCAAAAAUAACGUCUCAGUUCGGACUGUAGUCUGCAACCCGACUACACGAAGCUGGAAUCGCUAGUAAUCGCAGAUCAGAAUGCUGCGGUGAAUACGUUCCCGGGUCUUGUACACACCGCCCGUCACACCAUGGGAGUUGGGAAUGCCCGAAGCCAGUGACCUAACCGAAAGGAAGGAGCUGUCGAAGGCAGGCUCGAUAACUGGGGUG
rnacentral:rRNA from 1 species